UACGAAGGGGGCUAGCGUUGUUCGGAAUCACUGGGCGUAAAGCGCACGUAGGCGGGUCGUUAAGUCAGGGGUGAAAUCCUGGAGCUCAACUCCAGAACUGCCCUUGAUACUGGCGAUCUCGAGUCCGGGAGAGGUGAGUGGAACUGCGAGUGUAGAGGUGAAAUUCGUAGAUAUUCGCAAGAACACCAGUGGCGAAGGCGACUCUUUGGCCUGUAACUGACGCUGAGGCGCGAAAGCGUGGGGAGCAAACAGGG
rnacentral:rRNA from 1 species